rnacentral:rRNA from 1 species
UACGUAGGGCGCAAGCGUUAUCCGGAAUUAUUGGGCGUAAAGAGCUCGUAGGCGGUUUGUCGCGUCUGCCGUGAAAGUCCGGGGCUCAACUCCGGAUCUGCGGUGGGUACGGGCAGACUAGAGUGAUGUAGGGGAGACUGGAAUUCCUGGUGUAGCGGUGAAAUGCGCAGAUAUCAGGAGGAACACCGAUGGCGAAGGCGGGAUCCUGGGCCAGUACUGACGCUGAGGAGCGAAAGCGUGGGGAGCAAACAGG